GAUUUCUGGCUUGAAACACUAAGCCGGCCACGGUUUCGUGUGUUAGUGCUUGGUGUUCUGGCCAUCCUUCCAAUCGCCAUCUACUUCUCUUCAUUGAUUAGUAGGUGGUAUUGGAUCUUUUACUUUGAAAAAAUUAGAGUGUUUCAAGCAGGCUAUUGCUAUGAAUACAUUAGCAUGGAAUAAUAAUUUAGGACUUCGGUUCUAUUUUGUUGGUUUCUAGGACUGAAGUAAUGAUUGAUAGGGAUAGUUGGGGGUGCUAGUAUUCAGCGGCCAGAGGUGAAAUUCUUGGAUUCGCUGAAGACUAACUUAUGCGAAAGCAUU
rnacentral:rRNA from 1 species